rnacentral:rRNA from 1 species
GAUGAACGCUGGCGGCGUGCCUAGUACAUGCAAGUCGAGCGAACGGACGAGAAGCUUGCUUUUCUGAUGUUAGCGGCGGACGGGUGAGUAACACGUGGAUAACCUACCUAUAAGACUGGGAUAACUUCGGGAAACCGGAGCUAAUACCGGAUAAUAUUUUGAACCGCAUGGUUCAUAAGUGAAAGACGGUCUUGCUGUCACUUAUAGAUGGAUCCGCGCUGCAUUAGCUAGUUGGUAAGGUAACGGCUUACCAAGGCAACGAUGCAUAGCCGACCUGAGAGGGGGACAGUCCACACUGGAACUGAGACACGGUCCAGACUCCUACGGGAGGCAGCAGUAGGGAAUCUUCCGCAAUGGGCGAAAGCCUGACGGAGCAACGCCGCGUGAGUGAUGAAGGUCUUCGGAUCGUAAAACUCUGUUAUUAGGGAAGAACAUAUGUGUAAGUAACUGUGCACAUCUUGACGGUACCUAAUCAGAAAGCCACGGCUAACUACGUG